UACGUAGGGCGCAAGCGUUGUCCGGAAUUAUUGGGCGUAAAGAGCUCGUAGGCGGUUUGUCGCGUCUGCUGUGAAAACCUAAGGCUCAACCUUGGGCUUGCAGUGGGUACGGGCAGACUAGAGUGCGGUAGGGGUGACUGGAAUUCCUGGUGUAGCGGUGGAAUGCGUAGAUAUCGGGAGGAACACCUGAGGCGAAGGCGGGCUACUGGGCCGAUACUGACGCUGAUGCGCGAAAGCCAGGGGAGCGAACGGG
rnacentral:rRNA from 1 species